AAAAGAAAAAAAAAAAAAAAAGAGACCAGCAUUGUUGAGGUGAAAUCCUCUGAUCUCCGGGGAAGUGUUUCCUGAGGGCACAGAGAAGCUGUGUUGCAGAGGCAGCCAAGGUUGUACCUCCAGCUGGCAGCCGAGUCAUCCAGGUGGUAUACCGGUUUUGAAGGCAUGGAGCGAUCACGGAAAGCUGAGGUUUGGCAUUGAAAGAGGCCAGGAACACCCUCAGAGACAGUAGAAGGGUUGGGUUGGAUGGGGUCAUGCAGACACGUUGAGGUGUGGCCCUGUGAAGAGGGACUAGGAGAAGCUUUUGAGGAAAGGGCAGUCCACUUGCAGCAGAAGACCUCAGCAUUUUGGAGAUACCAGGACCAUGGGAUGACCACCAAGAGCAGCAGCAGAGGUGGAGUGGAGCCAGCCAGUGUCUAGAAGACAAGCGCGUAUCCUGCAGAGAGUGGAGCCGGAGAAGUGACUCAAACCCCUUGGAAGAGCCCAAAAGAUCGGAAUGAUGCUUCAGGGUAUGAAGUGAGUUGAGAUUCUCAGGUGGGGUGCGUGUGCGCGCGCAUAGACCUCUGGAAUUCAUCAACUGCAUUCUAAUUCAAGCUAGCCUCCCUGCAGAAAGAUGACAAGACCUCUGACGGAAGACGACGAGAUGACUCUACAUUUACUCUAUCGCCACAGAACGAUCUGUAGGAUCUGACUUCCUGGUUUUCCAUGGAGAGAGUAGCUUGUACAAACAUAAAGUAAAAAAAAAUACUUCCA